UGUUGCCUCGGCGGGAUCUCUGCCCCGGGUGCGUCGCAGCCCCGGACCAAGGCGCCCGCCGGAGGACCAACCAAAACUCUUAUUGUAUACCCCCUCGCGGGUUUUUUUUAUAAUCUGAGCCUUCUCGGCGCCUCUCGUAGGCGUUUCGAAAAUGAAUCAAAACUUUCAACAACGGAUCUCUUGGUUCUGGCAUCGAUGAAGAACGCAGCGAAAUGCGAUAAGUAAUGUGAAUUGCAGAAUUCAGUGAAUCAUCGAAUCUUUGAACGCACAUUGCGCCCGCCAGUAUUCUGGCGGGCAUGCCUGUCCGAGCGUCAUUUCAACCCUCGAACCCCUCCGGGGGGUCGGCGUUGGGGAUCGGCCCUGCCUUUGGCGGUGGCCGUCUCCGAAAUACAGUGGCGGUCUCGCCGCAGCCUCUCCUGCGCAGUAGUUUGCACACUCGCAUCGGGAGCGCGGCGCGUCCACAGCCGUUAAACACCCAACUUCUGAAAUGUUGACCUCGGAUCAGGUAGGAAUACCCGCUGAACUUAA
rnacentral:rRNA from 1 species